rnacentral:rRNA from 1 species
CAAUAGCGUAUAUUAAAGUUGUUGCGGUAAAAAAGCUCGUAGUUGGAUUUCUGUUGAGAGCGACCGGUCCAUACCAUGUAUGCGUAUCUGGCUUGCUCUCGGCAUCCUCUCGAUAGACGUUACUGCGCUUGAUUGCGUGGUGCGGAUCUCGGGACUUUUACUUUGAGGAAAUUAGAGUGUUCACGGCAGGCUUUCGCCAGAAUACAUUAGCAUGGAAUAAUGCUAUAGGAUCUUGGUUCUAUUUUGUUGGUUUCUAGAAUUGAGAUAAUGAUUAAUAGGGACAAUUGGGGGCAUUCGUAUCAACACGUCAGAGGUGGAAUUCUUGGAUUGUGUUGCGACGAACUACUGCGAAAGCAUUUGCCAAGGAUGUUUUCAUUGA